rnacentral:rRNA from 1 species
GACGAACGCUGGCGGCGUGCUUAACACAUGCAAGUCGAGCGGUAAGGCCCUUUCGGGGGUACACGAGCGGCGAACGGGUGAGUAACACGUGGGUGACCUGCCCUCAGCUCUGGGAUAAGCCUGGGAAACCGGGUCUAAUACUGGAUAUGACUCCAUGACGCAUGUUGUGGGGUGGAAAGCCUUGUGCGGCUGAGGAUGGGCCCGCGGCCUAUCACGUC